CCCUUAGAUGUUCUGGGCCGCACGCGCGCUACACUGACGGAGGCAGUGAGCAUGUCCUUCGCCGAGAGGUGUGGGGAAUCUUGUGAGUCUCCGUCGUGCUGGGGAUAGAUGGUUGCAAUUGUCGAUCUUGAACGAGGAAUUCCUAGUAAGCGCGAGUCAUCAGCUCGCGCUGAUUACGUCCCUGCCCUUUGUACACACCGCCCGUCGCUACUACCGAUUGAAUCGUUUAGCGAGAAUUUUGGAUCGGAGCCCUGGUGGGCAGCGAUGUCCGCCUGGGAUUUACCGAGAAAUCAUUCCAGCUUGCCGAUUUAGAGGAAGUAAAAGUCGUAACA
rnacentral:rRNA from 1 species